rnacentral:rRNA from 1 species
UACGUAGGUGGCAAGCGUUGUCCGGAUUUACUGGGCGUAAAGAGCGCGCAGGCGGUCGUUCAAGUCGCGUGUGAAAGCCCCCCGGCUCAACUGGGGAGGGUCACUCGAUACUGAUCGACUUUGAAGGCAGAAGAGGGAAGCGGAAUUCCCGGUGUAGUGGUGAAAUGCGUAGAUAUCGGGAGGAACACCAGUGGCGAAGGCGGCUUUCUGGUCUGUUCUUGACGCUGAGGCGCGAAAGCUAGGGUAGCAAACGGG